rnacentral:sRNA from 1 species
GGUUGACCUCGGAUCGGGUAGGGAUACCCGCUGAACUUAAGCAUAUCAAUAAGCGGAGGAAAAGAAACCAACAGGGAUUGCCUCAGUAACGGCGAGUGAAGCGGCAACAGCUCAAAUUUGAAAUCUGAUCCCUCUGGGGUCCGAGUUGUAAUUUGUAGAGGAUGCUUCGGGUACGGCUCCGGUCUAAGUUCCUUGGAACAGGACGUCCUAGAGGGUGAGAAUCCCGUACGUGACCGGCCGCCAGGCCCAUGUGAAGCUCCUUCGACGAGUCGAGUUGUUUGGGAAUGCAGCUCCAAAUGGGUGGUAAAUUUCAUCUAAAGCUAAAUACUGGCCAGAGACCGAUAGCGCACAAGUAGAGUGAUCGAAAGAUGAAAAGCACUUUGGAAAGAGAGUUAAACAGUACGUGAAAUUGUUGAAAGGGAAGCGCUUGCGACCAGACUUGCCCGCGGGCGAUCAGCCGGUGUUCUCACCGGUGCACUCGCCCGAGGUCAGGCCAGCAUCGGUUCAGGCGGUCGGACAAAGGCCCCCGGAAUGUGACUCCCCCCGGGGAGUGUUAUAGCCGGGGGUGCAAUGCGGCCCGCCUGGACCGAGGACCGCGCU